rnacentral:tRNA from 1 species
GGCUCGUUGGUCUAGGGGCUAUGAUUCUCGCGUAGGGUGCGAGAGGUCCCGGGUUCAAAUCCCGGACGAGCCC